AACGAACGCUGGCGGCGUGCCUAACACAUGCAAGUCGAACGCGAAAGGGGGUAACCCCGGUAGCGUGGCAGACGGGUGAGUAACACGUGGGCAAUCUACCCGAAGGUGGGGAUAACCCUUCGAAAGGAGGGCUAAUACCGCAUAACAUCCCGUGGUUCUCGGAUCGCGGGAUCAAAGCUAGCCUCUUCUUGAAAGCUAGCGCCAUCGGAGGAGCCCGCGCCCCAUUAGCUAGUUGGUGAGGUAACGGCUCACCAAGGCUACGAU
rnacentral:rRNA from 1 species